rnacentral:lncRNA from 1 species
AGCAAGGUAGUAUAAGUCAGCCAAAACUUGGAGAUUAAGCUUUGACUUUUUAAAUAUGCUACUAUGAAGGGAAUGAAGAUGGCAGUGAUAGGUGUAAGAAAAACAGAUGAGGAAACAGAGAGUCAAGAGGGAAUUAAUGGCAGAUCUUUGGAAAGGCCAUUAUGCUUGGAAUUUUAGCUAUACAAAAAAGAGAGGGAAUGAAGAUGGCAGUGAUCAGUGUAGGAAAAGCAGAUGAGGAAACAGAGAGUCAAGAGGAAAUUAAUGGCAGAUCUUUGGAAAGGCCAUUACGCUUGGAAUUUUAGCUAUAGGAACAAGUAAGCUUCUAAUUUCUUCUACUGAAUUAUUGUCAUAUAUUUGUGGUUGAACUAAGAUAUUGAGGCUGUAUUGCAACCUGUUACCAGAUUUGGCUUGUUGAUAUCAUUCAAGUCUGAUAAUUUUAUAUUGCAUUAUUUACACAAAUCUGUAGGUGUUUAGCUUAGCUGAACAUGUUAUACGGCUGCAAUGUGGUGUUUGUGUCUUGAAACAAGCGAUGCGAUUUUCUAUAGCAAUUUGCUGCGUACAGUAAGUAUUCGUUGUGAAUUUACAGUCACUGUUUUGGGAGAAUGAUGUUAAGGGGGAGCUGGAAUUCUAGCAAUCCUAAAACGUGGCUGUGAUUCAAGCUAUUAUACUGUGCUUGAAGCUUCGAACUAGAGCAUGAAAGUUUCAUUGCGUAUCAAUUCAACCUCGGAUACUUGGGGGGACGUAUCUGAGCUAAUUAAUUGAUACAUCAAGUGAAAGAUAUCGAUUUUUGUAAAUGUCUUGCUAAGGCAUCGACCAAGGAUGGGGUGGAUUGGAUUUUAAUGUUUAUGGAAUGGUAUUGAUUGGCAUUAUACAUUAUGUUGUAUUGCUGUUUUUUUGUUUAACGUGU